GCAUAUACAUGGCUCACAUUGAUGUGUUUUCUUCUGCAGGAUAAUGCAGACCUUGAUACCAGUACCACAGCCCUCCUUAUCCCAGGCCAGGGAGAAUCUGGUGAAUGCUUUCCCCCCCAGGCUCCUCUGUCUGCUGGCCUGCGGAGGAAUAGGUUGCCGCUAUGAAGGACCAGAGUGUUGGAAAUUAAAUCAACAGGUCAUUCGAGGCAUCUUCUCCUCCUGGGUGACAGAUGACAUCAUAGCCAUGGCACGGCCAUCUAGUCAUCUAAUUAAGAAGUACAAAAUCAUAGAACAAUUUCAAAGGUUAAACAUCAGAUCAAUCAUCAACAUGCAGCUCCCUGGAGAACACGCUCACUGUGGACCUCCCAUAGAACCUGACAGCGGUUUCACGUACUCCCCACAGACCUUCAUGGACAAUGACAUUUACUUUUACAACUUUGGGAUGCAAGACUUCAAUGCGUCCUCCCUUGUUGGUUUAAUUGACGGGGUGAAGGUUCUGGCCUUUGCACUGAGGGAAGGAAGAGUGGCCGUGCACUGCCAUGCAGGCCUGGGCAGAUCAGGCGUCCUGAUAGCCUGCUACUUGAUUUACAUCCUGCGCAUCAGCCCAAGUGAGGCCGUUCAUUAUUUGCGGAUCAAACGUCCACACUCCAUCCAAACUCGGGCCCAGCUGAACCAGGUGUUUGACUUUGCUCGCCUGCUUGGCUCACAGCUGGUUCAAUACCCAGACCCUCGCCUGCGGCACGGAGACCCUUUCAGCCUGCAGCUGCACCUGAACAGACAGGCCUUACUGCUGCAUGGCCAGGAGGCACGCACCCUCAAACAAACACCAAAGGUGGUGUACCUCCUGUGUGUGUAUCUCUCCUGCUUAGCCCUGGGUCUCCCUGCCCCUCCAGAGAUCCAGGCUGAGCUGGACAAGAGGUCAGCACUGAGGAGCCUGAGCAGGACCGUGAGGGAGAGCCUGGUGUCGAAACAGUGCUUGCCCUUACUGAGAGAGUGUCACCAGGGGCCAAGAGUGAGUUUAGGAUCGGUGUCCUUCUGGGACGAGCCUCUGGGCUUUUUGACGAGGAAGAGAGAGGUGCUGCAAGACAAACGCAGCUACAGUGACUCUGACCUCAGCAAGAUCGCAGUAAAUCAGGAUCUGGAGUUGAGUCCAUACUGCAACUCAGAAGCUGGAAAUGAAAGACAGGUUUGUGUAAAGGAUCUGACACAACCUGAUCUGAGACCAGCUAGUCCGAUCCUUGCCAGCAUCAAACAAGGCCUCCAGCCAACCAAAAUGGAAUCUCAAGCACUCAACAUGCCAGUAUCUAGCAUGACAUCAAGCAACGACUGUGCUCUGAGGUCAAAGUGCUCAGCUAGAAAGGCACUUCCCAAAUACAGCUCCAACAUUGAGUUAAGCAGAAAUCUACAUAAUCCAGGCCCAGCCUCAGUUGCUGUUGCUAAGGCAUUGGCAGAUCUUUGUCCACCGGAAGAAAACAUCCUGCAAAGAUCAGCUCUGCUGCAGGAGGAACUGAACAGUAGUGACUGUGGCUGGGCUCUGCUGCUCACUGAGUCAGAUCCUCAGGUUCUCAGCUGUCUGCUGUGGACCUGGCUGGAGAGGUUAAAGGAGCCUGUUCUGAGUGCAGAGGAUGUAGACAGGUUGUGUUGUGGUGCCAACAAACGGAAACCUCUCAGUGUGCUCAAGAAGGUAAAGAAACACAUCCACAGAGAGACACCAUCUCCUGCCUCCUGAGCUGUGUGAGCACCGUGACCAGCCUGUGUCCACACAGAGAGGAUGCAGUGCUGCAACGACUGGUGGCAGGCACUUACAAGGUGCCCCCAUGAGGAAACUUCAAGCCUGGCAACGUUAAUGAAGGUCCUGAAGGCGAGUUUAAGAGAAACCUCCCACAGCUACCUCUAAAGAGACAGCAACACCAAUGUUCCACUUUGAAGAGCAGAGUCCUUAUUAUUAUUAUAAAAGUUGUACUCGUACUUUUACACACUUAUACCAUUCUCAGUUGGAUCAAUGACUGAACAUAUGAAAAUUGCUAGUAAAAAACAGAAGUCAUUUUAAGAAGAGCAGAUGCUAGGGUAAAUGCUUUUAGUGUCAUUUUGAUAUACAAUGAUUUUUCUACGGCAAGUGGGGUUUUCCUUGUAUUUUUCUGUAUACGGCGCACAAUCAAAAGGGUUUGCCCCCCCCCUGACUUAACCCAUUGGCCAGUGCUGCAUAUUGUUAUGUAACAAUGGCUAACAUUUAAAUAAAUCCCUUACAUCAGAAUUCAAUGAGUACACUGAUACAAUUUACACUUUACAUUAGGCUAAAUAAUUUGUUCAUGUAUACUUUAAAUAGUGUCAAAGUUACGGUAAUGUAGUACUAGCAGAUUAAAUCCAAACUGUGUGUCCAGAGUCUGAUCUGUGGCCUAUUCACCCUUCCAAGCCUAAUAAAUCAUUGACACCGUC